rnacentral:rRNA from 1 species
UACGAACUGUGCAAACGUUAUUCGGAAUCACUGGGCUUAAAGGGUGCGCAGGUGGCGGCGCGCGUGGGGGGUGAAAUCGCCCGGCUCAACUGGGCGGGGUCAGCGGAUACGGUGUGGCUCGAGCAAGCUAGGGGGCAAUGGAAUUCCCGGUGUAGUGGUGGAAUGCGUAGAUAUCGGGAGGAACACCAGUGGCGAAGGCGGUUGCCUGGAGCUUUGCUGACGCUGAGGCGCGAAAGCGUGGGGAGCGAUCCGG